GUUUACGGUCACUCUACCCUUUGCACGCCUGAUCUCAUCUGAUUUCGGAAUGUAAGCAGGGUUUGGCCUAUUUAGGACUUGGAUGGAGGACCACCUGGGAGUAUCAGGUGCUGUAAGCU
ensembl:rRNA 5S_rRNA 5S ribosomal RNA